rnacentral:rRNA from 1 species
GGUUAAAAAGCUCGUAGUUGGAUCUCGACAAGUAGAGGGCGGUAUGCUUCGUAGCAUUACUGCCCUAUUACUUGUAGUUUUGCCAGAGGUUCCUGGGUGCUCUUAAUCGAGUGUCUAGGGAUGCUGGCAGGUUUACUUUGAAAAAAUUAGAGUGCUCAAAGCAGGCUAUUACGCUUGAAUAUUCGUGCAUGGAAUAAUAGAAUAGGAAGUUGUUUCUAUUUUGUUGGUUUUCGGAAAUCGACUUAAUGAUUAAUAGGGACAGUCGGGGGCAUUUGUAUUCAAACGACAGAGGUGAAAUUCUUGGACCGUUUGAAGACAAACUGCUGCGAAAGCAUUUGCCAAGAAUGUUUUCAUUAAUCAAGAACGAAAGUUAGAGGUUCGAAGGCGAUUAGAUACCGCCCUAGUUCUAACCAUAAACGAUGCCAGCUAGCGAUCUGAGGACGUUUUUUUUGUAGACUCCUCAGGAAGCUUCCGGGAAACCAAAGCAUUUGGGUUCCAGGGGAAGUAUGGUUGCAAAGCUGAAACUUAAAGGAAUUGACGGAAGGGCACCACCAGGAGUGGAGCCUGUGGCUUAAUUUGACUCAACACGGGAAAUCUCACCAGGCCCGGACACUGGAAGGAUUGACAGAUUGAUAGCUCUUUCUUGAUUC